rnacentral:sRNA from 1 species
UAUUUCUCGGUAACAGACUUUUCUGUGGCCAAGAUCG